rnacentral:rRNA from 1 species
AUUGAACGCUGGCGGCAUGCCUUACACAUGCAAGUCGAACGGUAGCAGGUCUUCGGAUGCUGACGAGUGGCGAACGGGUGAGGAAUACAUCGGAACGUGCCUAGUAGUGGGGGAUAACUACUCGAGAGAGUGGCUAAUACCGCAUGAGAUCUCCGGAUGAAAGCAGGGGAUCGCAAGACCUUGUGCUACUAGAGCGGCCGAUGGCAGAUUAGGUAGUUGGUGGGAUAAAAGCUUACCAAGCCGACGAUCUGUAGCUGGUCUGAGAGGACGAUCAGCCACACUGGGACUGAGACACGGCCCAGACUCCUACGGGAGGCAGCAGUGGGGAAUUUUGGACAAUGGGCGGAAGCCUGAUCCAGCAAUGCCGCGUGCAGGAUGAAGGCCUUCGGGUUGUAAACUGCUUUUGUACGGAACGAAAAGCCCCGGGUUAAUACCCUGGGGUCAUGACGGUACCGUAAGAAUAAGCACCGGCUAACUAUGUGCCAGCAGCCGCCGUAA